rnacentral:lncRNA from 1 species
GUGAUUGAAUUAUAAGUUUGCUUGGAGUUGUUGAAGAAAAUUCAAGGGGUGUGGCCUGAUAUCAACAGAAUCGAGACACGCUGGUCUGGGUGGGGAAUUUGAUCGAACAAGUGUAGGGCACGUUGUAAAUCUGCGGAAUUACAGUAGACUUUGAAGAACCGAAGGCUCAGGUGAGAUGGGACGUUGGCGGGUAGCUUAGUGUUUCAACGGAUUUUGUAUCUUCUUCUAAUUUCUAGGGAUAAACUUGAAGUUUACAAGUGGCUUUGAAAACAUUGAAACGUUUGGUUUCUGCGCGCCAGGUCAGGUAUUAACUGUUGGCUAAAUUGGUGAUUUAACCAUGAACUGGUACGGUUGUACCAAAAUUUUUUGACUUUGUUUUCAAAUAGUUCAGAAGAAAUCCUGGGUUAUAAUAAAAACUUGAG